AUUGAACGCUGGCGGCAGGCCUAACACAUGCAAGUCGAACGGUAACAGGAAACAGCUUGCUGUUUCGCUGACGAGUGGCGGACGGGUGAGUAAUGUCUGGGCAACUGCCUGAUGGAGGGGGAUAACUACUGGAAACGGUAGCUACUACCGCAUAACGUCGCAAGACCAAAGAGGGGGACCUUCGGGCCUCUUGCCAUCGGGUGUGCCCAGAUGGGAUUCGCUAGUAGGUGGGGUAACGGCUCACCUAGGCGACGAUCCGUAGCUGAUCUGAGAGGAUGAGAGGCCACACUGGAGCUGAGACACGGUCCAGACGCCUACGGGAGGCAGCAGUGGGGAAUAUGGCGCAAUGGGCGGAAGCCUGAUGCAGCCAUGCCACGUGUAUGAAGAAGGCCUUCGGUUUGUAAAGUACUUUCAGCGGGGAUAAAGGGAGUAAAGUUAAUACCUUUGCUCAUUGACGUUACCCGCAGAAGAAGCACCGGCUAACUCCGUG
rnacentral:rRNA from 1 species